CAAGUUGGUAGUGAAAUUUUUCGGCUCAACCGAAUAACCGCUACCAAAACUGCUAAGCUAGAGCACGAGAGAGGUAACUGGAAUUUCUAGUGUAGGAGUGAAAUCCGUAGAUAUUAGAAGGAACACCGAUGGCGUAGGCAGGUUACUGGCUCGUUGCUGACACUCAGGCACGAAAGCGUGGGGAGCGAACGGGAUUAGAUACCCCGGUAGUCCACGCCGUAAACGAUGGAUGCUA
rnacentral:rRNA from 1 species